rnacentral:rRNA from 1 species
ACCAUCCUUACUAGUAAGUGAGGCUUACCUGCCCAGCUGACUAAGAUGUUAAACGGCCGCGGUACCCUAACCGUGCAAAGGUAGCAUAAUCAUUUGCCUUUUAAUUGGAGGCUUGUAUGAAUGGUUUGACGAGAGCUAUGCUGUCUCUAUUAAAAUAAUUAGAAAUUAACUUUUAGGUGAAGAGGCCUAAAUUAAGCUGAGGGACAAGAAGACCCUGUUGAGCUUUAGUGUGGUUAAGUUAAUAAUUUUUUCAUUAAUGAAAAACAUUGGUUUAAUGAUUCGUUAGUUGUGGCGACUGAGCAACAUAAAAAGCUUCCUGGGAAUACUAGUUCCUCUAUGUAGUGUAGUACUUAUUCCCCAUAUAUUAAUUUUCUAAUUCUUUUUAAAAAAACCGGAAAAGUUUUCGGCAACCAUUCGGAACAAGCCUCCAUUUUAUAGGGCAAAGAAUAAGCCAACUUUGGGCGGGGAAGGGACCGCCGGGCGUUUAAAAUCCUUAACGCGGGGGAAGUUCCAACCCCUUUGGUUCCAAACCUCCCGAGAGAAAU